rnacentral:rRNA from 1 species
CAGGCCUAACACAUGCAAGUCGAACGAUACCUUUCGGGGUAUAGUGGCGCACGGGUGCGUAACGCGUGGGAAUCUGCCCUGGGGUUCGGGAUAACCGUUGGAAACGACGGCUAAUACCGGAUGAUGAUGAAAAUCCAAAGAUUUAUCGCCCUGGGAUGAGCCCGCGUCGGAUUAGCUAGUUGGUGGGGUAAAGGCCUACCAAGGCGACGAUCCGUAGCUGGUCUGAGAGGAUGAUCAGCCACACUGGGACUGAGACACGGCCCAGACUCCUACGGGAGGCAGCAGUGGGGAAUAUUGGACAAUGGGCGAAAGCCUGAUCCAGCAAUGCCGCGUGAGUGAUGAAGGCCUUAGGGUUGUAAAGCUCUUUUGCCCGGGAAGAUAAUGACUGUACCGGGAGAAUAAGCCCCGGCUAACUCCGUGCCAGCAGCCGCGGUAAU